ensembl:lncRNA LINC01233 long intergenic non-protein coding RNA 1233
UUCCUGGGUCCCCCUCACGCUCUGGGUCAGAGUUCCUUUACAGGCGGACCUGAGAGGCAACUCACCGACUCCUGCCCUGGACCCUCCUGCGCCACUGAACCCCCUGACCUGGGAGCCUCGGAACCUAGGGCUCAGGAGAGCGGCCGUGGGUCCCAUCAGGCUUUCCCCUCGGAUCCUCUGCAGAUGAACCAGGACUUAUCCGAAGGUACCAAGUGAACUUCUAGGAAAAGUCCAAUUCUCAGAUGCUGGAUGUCUUCCAAAAAUGAAGCAAAUUAGUAACUUAGUAGCUGAGUCAACUAAUCCUGUUAGAUGGUCAACACUGGUUUUUUUAUUUUAAUAUUUUUAAGUGGCAACUCUAGUGUGUGAGAAAAUUAAUGUGACAGCUGAAUUUGUAGAAAGCUGCUUUGACUCUCUUGGGCCCCUUCAUAAGCCCUGGAACUAAAUAAAAGUCUAGUGAAU